UGAAACUAUCAAAAAGGCUUUGGCUGCCUUAACGGCACCCAGUGUCUUGUCUCGAGAUGCCCUUCCGCUGUCAGCACGGUCAGUAUGCUAUUCUGUUAAUGAUUUAACACAUGGACAAUAUUUCUGUGGAACGCAUGCCUUAUUUUAUACUAGGUCAUAACUAUCCCAAAGUAGAAAACGAAGAAAAUAAAAUAAAAUAAAACUUAUUUAUUAUUAUCGGCUAAAUGAAAAAGAAUAAUAUUUAUUAGAUCAAGUGAAUACAUGGUGCUCUUCGUACUUGUGACCUCUAUAUUAAUACAAAUUUUAAAACAUCAAACUUAACAAACUUUGAAAUGUCAUAGAUACCUACUGAGAUUAUGUAUUAGCUUUGAUAUCCUCACCCUCACCUGCUGUUGGGGUAUUGUCAGUAUAUUGUCAAAUUUAGCAUUGAAGUACAAGCAGGAGCGGUAUGAUACUAUAUUUUGUGAAAAUACAUCAACAAGGUUACAACCACGCACAUAUUUGUGUCGGUUUGAUUGGAUUCGCUCUAAUUUGUAAUAAAUUCAAGGUGAUGAACAUUUUAAUGAUCAAACAUUGGGUGAGAGAAACUCUCUGAAUACAAUCGUAAUUGCAUAAUCGUUUACAAGUCUACAUAAACGUAAAACACAGUUUUACAGGAUCAUAAAACAUUUACGUAAAAUAUUUUGGCGGGAGGUUGCAGGCUCGUAAUUCAGGGAGGAGCAACAGUCGUCGUAUUUGCCCCAGAGUCGGUGAUCCAAAAGAACGCUGGAGUUCUGAAAGCAGCAGUAUCGCCUGAUCUUGGUGUAGUUUGGAGCAAGGA
rnacentral:lncRNA from 1 species